rnacentral:lncRNA from 1 species
AUGACUUUGGAAAGUUGGAUUAACAUCCAUCAGGAUGAUGAACCAGAUAGUGGAGUUUGUACAAAUCGGAAGUUUGUGGCAACCCUGCAUCGAACAAGUCUGUUGGUGCCAUCUUUCCAAAAGCUUGAGCUUUUUGUGUCUCUAUCUCACAUUUUGUCAAUUCUCACAGUAUUUCAAACCUUUUUAUUUUUAUGUCUAGUGUGGUGAUCUGUGAUCAGUGUUAUUUUAUGGCACUAUUGUAAUUAUUUUGGGGCACCAUGAACCGCACCCCUAUAAGAAGAUGAACUUAACUCAUAAAUGUUUUGUGUGUUCUGGCUGAUCCAUCAACUGGUGGCUCUCCCAUCUUUCUCCUCCUUGGGCCUCCAUAUUCUUUGAGAUACACCAAUACUGGAAUUAGGCCAACUAAUAGCUCUACAAUGGCUUCUGAGUGUUCACGUAAAAGAAGAGUCCCACAUCUAUCACUUUCAAUUAAAAGACAGAAAUAAUUAAGCUUAGUAAAAAAGGCAUGUCAAAAACCAAGACAGUCCAAAACCUAGGCUACCUGUACCAAACAGCCAAGUUGUGAAUACAAAGGAAAGUUCUUGUAGGAAAUUUAAAGUGCUACUAUGGGGAACACAUGAAUGAUAAAAGAGUGAAACAUCCUUAUUGCUGAGAUGGCAAAAGUUUGAAUGGCCUGGAUAGAAGCACAAACCUGCCAUAAUAUCCCCUUUAGCUAAAGCCUAAUCCAGAGUAAAUCCCUAACUCUCUUUAAUUCUAUGAAGGCUGAGAGAGGGGAGGAAACUGCAGUAAAAAAGUCUGAAGCUGGCAGAGGUGGGUCCAUGAGGCUUAAGGAAAGGCACUGUCUCCAUACCAUAAAACUGCAAGGUGAAGCAGCAACUGCUGAUACAGGAGUUGCAGCAAGUUAUUCAGAAGAUCUAACUAAGGUCACUGAUGAAGGCGAUUCAACUCUUCAUUGAUCAUUGACCAAUGAAGUGAUAAAAUCAUUGAUGAAGGUGGCUAAACACCAAACAACAGAUUUUCAAUGUAGAUAAAACAGCCUUAUAUUGGGAGAAGAUGCCUUCUAGGACUUACAGAGUUAGAGAGGAGAUGCCAGUGCCUGGAUUUAAAGCUUCAAAGGACAGGCUGACUCUCUAGUGCAGCUGGUGACUUUAAGUUGAAGCCAAUGCUUAUUUACCAUUCCCAAAAUCCUAGGGCCCUCAAGAAUUAUGCUAAAACUACUCUGCUUAUAGUGCUCUUAUAAAUGGAACAACAAAGUCUGGAUGACAGCACAUCUGUUUACAACAUGGUUUAAUGAGUAUUUUUAAGCCCGCUGUUGAAACCUCCUGCUCAGAAGAAAAGAUUCAUUUAAAAAUGUUACUGCUCAUUGACAUUGUACCUAGUUACCCGAGAGCUCUGAUGGAGACGUUCAAAGAAAUUGAUGUUUUCAGGCCUGCUAACAUAAUGUCCAUUCUGCAGCUCAUGGAUCAUGGAGUAAUUCUGACUUUCAAGUCUUCUUGAAGAAUUAUAUUUUGAGACCUGGCAUGGUGGCUCAUGCCUGUAAUCCCAGCACUUUGGUAGGGUGAGGCAGGUGGAUCACAAGGUCAGGAGUUCGAGACCUGCCUGAUCAACAUGGUGAAACCCUGUUUCUACUAAAAAUACAAAAAUUAGCCUGGCCUAGUGGCAUGUGCCUUUAAUCCCAGCUACUCAGGAGGUUGAGACAGGAGAAUUGUUUGAGCUCGGGAGGAGGAGGUUGCAGUGAGCCGAGAUUCCACUGCACUCCAGCCUGGGCAACAGAGCAAGUCUCCAUCUCCAAAAAAAAAAAAGAAUGAAUUACAUUUUGUAAGGUUAUUGCUGUCAUAGAUAGUGAUUUCUUUGAUGAUCUGAUGGGCAAAGUACCUUGAAAGUCUUCUGAAAUGGAUUAACAACUCUAGGUGCCAUCAAAAACCUUACUGAUUCAUGGGGAGAGGUCAAAAUAUCAAAAUUAGCAGAAGUUUGCAAGAAGUUGAUUUCAACCCUCAUGGAUGACAUUGAUAGGUUCAAGACUUCAGUGGAAAGAGUAACUGCAGAUGUGGUGGCAAUAGGAAGAGCAGUAAAAUUAGAAGUGGAGCAUGAAGAUGCGACUGAUUGCUGCAAUCUCAUAAUAAAACAGAAAGGGAUAUGGUGUUGCUUCUUAAGAAUGAGCAAAAAAUGUGGUUUCCUGAGAUAGAGCUGCUUAUGGUAAAGAUGCUAUGAACAUUUUUGAAAUAACAACAGAAGAUAUAGAAUAUUACACAAAUGUAGUUGAUAAAGCAAUGGCAGAAUUUGAGAGUAUUGACUCUAAUUUUGAAAGAAAUUCUACUUUGAGUAAAAUGCUGUGAAACAGUGUCAUACGCUACAGAGUCAUCUUUAAUGAAAGGCAGAGUCAAUCAAUGUAGCAAACUUUAUCAUUGUCUUAUUUUAAGAAAUUGCCACAACCACUCAAUCUUCAGCCACUACACCCUGAUCAGUCAGCAGCCAUCAACAUGAAGGCAAGACUCUCUACUAGCAAAAGAUUAUGACUUGCUGAAGCUCAGAUAAUAGUUAGCAUUUUUUGCAAUAAAGGAUUUUUUAAUUCAGGUAUGCACAAUGUUUUUUAAACAAUACUACUGCACAUUUACUAGAUUACAGUACACUAUAAACAUAAUUUUUUAUAUGCAAAACUUUUACAUGCACCAAAAAAUUUGUAUGAUUUGCUUUAUUGUGAUGUUCGCUUUAUGGCAGUGGUCUGGAACUAAACCCACAACAUCUCUGCAGUCUGCCAAUAUUCCAACAAUUUGUGGAAUUUGAAUCUGAAAGGAAUGGGUGUCAUUAUCCUGUCUGAUAUUUCCAGGCAAAGAUCCACAAAUGAGUGAGGCAAACUGUACUGCUCUGUGACUAUUCUUCCCUCUGACUAGCCCCCUUAGAAAUUUACAAUUCAGUCACUUGUAUUCUGUUUUUCUCACAUUCUCACUCGACUUGGAAUUUUGGUAAGAGAUCUAGUUUAUGAAGACACACUAUUGUUCAGAUUGAGAAACACGAAUUUCACUUUGUAGGUGAGGAUACCAUAUCUCAAAAUAUUUAGCUGACAUGACCAAGUUCAUGCUGUUAGUGGGUAAGCAAGUGGCUAAAACCACACUCACGUCUCCGCAUGUCUUUUCAUGCCAGUAAUCUACUCUCUAUCAUACGUUUGAUAUCCAAGUAUUAUGACAAAUUGUACUUCAAACCCUUUGGGUUUCCUAAGGAAAGUAUCAGAUGAGGUUAAGAAUUACCAAGUAUUUUGCUUUUGUAAAUUUUCAAGGCGUAAAGCACUAUCUGUAGGGAUAUGCUAUACCUACAUGAAAUUUCAUGCUGGCAAUCAUAUAUUUGAGGUUAGGUAAUUCUAAGACUAAGUCUAGUUGCUUUUUCUGUUUGUUUUUGAGACAGGAUGGAAUGCCAUGGCACAAUCAUGGCUCAUUGCAGCCUUGACCUCCCAGACUUAAGCGAUCCUCCUACCUCAGCCUCGCGAGUAGCUCGGACUACAGGCACCAGCCACCACACUUUGCUUUUUUUUUAAAGACAGGAUUUCGCCAUGUUGCGCAGGCUGGACUGAACUCCUGGGCUCAAGUGACCUGCCUGCCUCAGUCUCCCUAGGUGUUAGGAUUAUAGGCAUGAGCCACUGUGCCCAGCAGACUCAGUCAUUUCUUCCCCUGAAUUCACUGUAUGAGAUUCUGAACUACCAGUAAAUAUUUAACAAGAUAUUUUUGAUUCUAGAAGUAUCUAUUAAUUUAGUUAACAACUCUUCAUU